UAGCUUGCUAAUGAAAUUCUUAGUGGCGGACGGGUUAGUAACACGUGAGAAUCCUACCCUUGAGUGGGGAAUAGCCUUUCGAAAGGAAGAUUAAUGCCCCAUAGUCUCUACGGAGUAAAGAUGCCUUCGGGUGUCGCUUAAGGAUGGGCUCGCGGCCUAUCAGCUAGUUGGUGAGGUAAGAGCUCACCAAGGCAACGACGGGUAGCUGGUCUGAGAGGACGAUCAGCAACACUGGAACUGAGACACGGUCCAGACACCUACGGGUGGCAACAGUCGAGAAUCAUUCACAAUGGACGAAAGUCUGAUGGUGCAACGCCGCGUGGAGGAUGACGGCCCUAGGGUUGUAAACUCCUGUCAUCAGGGAGUAAGACUUAUUCGUUAAUAGCGUGUAAGUUUGAUAGUACCUGAAGAGGAAGGGACGGCUAACUUCGUGCCAGCAGCCGCGGUAAUACGAAGGUCCCAAGCGUUGUUCGGAAUAACUGGGCGUAAAGCGUGUGUAGGCCGCGCGG
rnacentral:rRNA from 1 species